GCGGACGUGAUGGAAUGGUAGACAUGAGGCACUUAAAAUGCCUUGGCCGUGUGCCGUGCGGGUUCGAGUCCCGCCGUCCGUACCA
rnacentral:tRNA from 1 species